rnacentral:rRNA from 1 species
GACGAACGCUGGCGGCGUGCCUAACACAUGCAAGUCGAACGGACAGGCCCUGCUUUUGUGCCGUGCUCGAUUGCCGAACGGGUGAGUAUAACGUGAGUAUCCUGCCCUUGACUUUCGGAUAACUUCAGGAAACUGCGGAUAUAAUAGGAUAGGAGCUCUUGAUCCACGGUGGGGGAUGGAAAGUUUCGGCGGUUGGGGCUGGUCUCGCGGCUUAUCCGCUUGUUUGUCGGGUAGUGGCUUACCAAGGCUUUGACGGGUAGCCGGCCUGAGAGGGUGACCGGCCACAUUGGGACUGAGGUACGGCCCAGACGCCUACGGGAGGCAGCAGGGGGGAAUAUUGCAGAGUGGGCGGGAGCCUGAGGCAGCGACGCUGCGUGCGGGAUGACGGCCUUCGGGGUGUAAACCACUUUCGACUGAGACGAAGCGUGAGUGACGGUAAUGGGUAAAGAAGCACCGGCUAACUACGUG